GUAGCCUUCCUCUCUGCUUCAUCAAGGUACAAACCCUAACCCUUACUACGUAGCCUUCCUCUCUGCUUCAUCAAGGUACAAACCCUAACCCUUACUACGUAGCCUUCCUCCCCCUCUGCUUCGUCAAGGUACAAACCCUAACCCUUACUACGUAGCCUCCCUCUCUGCUUCAUCAAGGUACAAACCCUAACCCUUACUACGUAGCCUUCCUCCCUGCUUCAUCAAGGUACAAACCCUAACCCUUACUACGUAGCCUUCCUCCCUGCUUCAUCAAGGUACAAACCCUAACCCUUACUACGUAGCCUUCCUCCCUGCUUCAUCAAGGUACAAACCCUAACCCUUACUACGUAGCCUUCCUCCCUGCUUCAUCAAGGUACAAACCCUAACCCUUACUACGUAGCCUUCCUCCCUGCUUCAUCAAGGUACAAACCCUAACCCUUACUACGUAGCCUUCCUCUCUGCUUCAUCAAGGUACGUCACACUUCCUCUCCCUCUCCUUCCUCCACUCUUUCCCUCCCUCUAGCAGUUUGCUGCUUUCCUUCUCCUCCCCUCCCCGUUAUCCAAGGAACUGUCAACCCUGCUGGUACUCAUCUCCGCUCCCCGUUAUCCAAGGAACUGUCAACCCUGCUGGUACUCAUCUCCCCUCCCCGUUAUCCAAGGAACUGUCAACCCUGCUGGUACUCAUCUCCCCUCCCCGUUAUCCAAGGAACUGUCAACCCUGCUGGUACUCAUCUCCCCU